GAUGAACGCUGGCGGCGUGCCUAAUACAUGCAAGUCGAACGGACGGACGAGAAUCUUGCGUCUCUCACGUUAGCGGCGGACGGGUGAGUAACACGUGUAUAACCUACCUAUAAGUCUGGUAUAACUUCGGGAAACCGGCUCUAAUACCGGAUGAUAUUUUGAACCGCAUGGGUCAAAAGUGAAAGACGGUCGUGCUGUCACUUAUAGAUGGUUCCGGGCUGCAUUGGCUAGUUGGUAAGGUAACGGGUUUCCAAGGCAACGAUGCGUAGCCGACCUGUGUGGCUGGUAGCCCGCCCUGGAGGUGAGCCGCGCUCCAGGCUCCUGCGGGAGGCCGCAGUCGGGUAUCUUCCGCAAUGGGCGGGAGCCUGACGGAACGGGCCCGCGCGUGUUGUGAAGGCGUUCCGAUCGUAAUGCCCUGUUAUUAGUGAAGAACCUCUGUCUCAGGAAAUGUGCCGCUCUUGACGGUAACUAAUAAGGAAGCCCCGGCUAACUACGUG
rnacentral:rRNA from 1 species